rnacentral:rRNA from 1 species
AUGGCGGCCCCGAUGGCCGGAAGAGCGGUGCCGACCCACCGGAGUGCGGCUGCGCUGACGAUGCGUGUUGCUGAUGACGUCCGCGCUGCUAUUCCUGGCAUGACAGCCGUGGCUGAGCAGACGGUCCCUCCAGGACCGGCUCGAGCCACCGCUCCCACCAUCGUCUUCACGGUCACGGCCGGCGCCGCCCAGGAUCGGGCCGCAGCCCGCCGGCCUGACGCGCGACACGUUGCCGCGGGCCCUGCUCUGCCCGUCUUCCACGUGGGCGACCCAAGUGCCCGGCUCGAUGCGCGGAAGGGGGCGGUCAUCCCUCUCAUCUGA